CUGGCCCUAAUCCUCUUCCGUAGAAGGCAGAGUUGUUUUUAAGGGAAUAAUCCUGGGAGAGGGAAAAAAACAUAAUUUGUCGACGCUAUGUGAUUUAAGCCCACCUCUGGGCUCUGCAGAGCAGUUUGAAGGGUGUGUGCAGGUCGAGGAGUGCUUCAUUUUACAGCCUCAUCCUGCCGUAUAUAUCAGUGGCUGCAACCAGAUCCCGCUCAGAACCCACCGGCCUCGGGGAAUCUCGCUCCCAACAACAGAACACUGAGGCAGUUUCCAAUUUCCACAGGAAGCUGCAGGACGGUGAUCUGGCUGCAGAUGGAGCGGCGAGCGCCGCCGGCUCCUCGAAUGAAACACGCCCUGUGGAGAACGGCUAAUGAGUGGAAUGUUGCGCCGUGUUUUGUUCACUCGCAGCGCCUCCCAGCACCGUCUCCUGUGGAAACCUGGAAACCAUUGCAGGAUGACUGAUGCAUUGUCUGAUUAGAUGGAACCUGCUGCCCUCUUGAGGUUUCACAUUAGAGCAGGACGAGCCAACCUGAACGCAACACAGCAGAUUUACAGAUGUGCGUCUGCGCCAGAUCAAUACAUGACAGGACAAUUUUAGUAUUAAACUUGUUAAAUAAAGAACAGAUUUUGUACUACUGCAAAAUAACUUAUUGCUUGUUUCUACUCAAUAUCAGAUCUGUCUGGUAUUUUCGCCAUAUUCAUAUAUUUAUCUCAUAGCAUUUUAUUGCUUUAUUGAUAUUAUUACAUACUUUUCAUUUAACCCACCGUACACACAGUUUGAGUGAGUAGAUAAAAAUCAGGCAAAUGAAAUCUCUGUAAACUGCAACAAACUGAUGUCUGCAGGCAUCAAUCAAGGAAUGGAAUAAAAUUAAUCUUUUAAAUUGUAAAA